GACGAACGCUGGCGGCGUGCCUAAUACAUGCAAGUAGAACGAGUUGCGAACGGGUGAGUAACGCGUGGUAACCUGCCUCAUAGCGGGGGAUAACUAUUGGAAACGAAAGCAAAUACAGAAUACUUGAGGAUGGACAAGUGUUGUAUUAGCUAGUUGGUGGGGUAACGGCUCACCAAGGCGAAGAUACAUAGCCGACCUGAGAGGGUGUUCGGCCACACUGGGACUGAGACACGGCCCAGACUCCUACGGGAGGCAGCAGUGGGGAAUAUUGCACAAUGGGCGCAAGCCUGAUGCAGCCAUGCCGCGUGUAUGAAGAAGGCCUUCGGGUUGUAAAGUACUUUCAGCGAGGAAGCGUUACUCGCAGAAGAAGCACCGGCUAACUCCGUGCCAGCAGCCGCGGUAAUAC
rnacentral:rRNA from 1 species